CGUGUAGGCGGUCGGGUAAGUCAGGUGUGAAAGCCUUCUGCUUAACAGAAGAAGUGCAUUUGAAACUGCUCGGCUAGAGUACGGGAGAGGAGAGUGGAAUUCCCGGUGUAGAGGUGAAAUUCGUAGAUAUCGGGAGGAACACCAGUGGCGAAGGCGGCUCUCUGGUCCGAUACUGACGCUGAGACGCGAAAGCGUGGGGAGCAAACAGGAUUAGAUACCCUGGUAGUCCACGCCGUAAACGAUGGGCACUAGGUGUAGGAGGUAUUGACCCCUUCUGUGCCGAAGUUAACGCAUUAAGUGCCCCGCCUGGGGAGUACGGCCGCAAGGCUAAA
rnacentral:rRNA from 1 species